rnacentral:tRNA from 1 species
UCUAAAGUGGCAGAAAAAUGCCCAAGAUUUAAGCUCUUGUUAUGAAGAAUAAUCUUCUUUUAGAA